rnacentral:rRNA from 1 species
AGUGAACGCUGGUGGUAGGCCUAACACAUGCAAGUCGAACGGCAGCACAGGAGAGCUUGCUCUCUGGGUGGCGAGUGGCGGACGGGUGAGGAAUACAUCGGAAUCUACCUUUUCGUGGGGGAUAACGUAGGGAAACUUACGCUAAUACCGCAUACGACCUACGGGUGAAAGUGGGGGACCGCAAGGCCUCACGCGAUUAG